UACGAAGGGGGCGAGCGUUGUUCGGAUUUACUGGGCGUAAAGGGCGCGCAGGCGGCUUUGUUUGUCAGGCGUGAAAGCCCCGGGCUUAACCUGGGAACUGCGUUUGAUACGGCAGGGCUAGAGUUCGGGAGAGGAGAGUGGAAUUCCCAGUGUAGAGGUGAAAUUCGUAGAUAUUGGGAAGAACACCGGUGGCGAAGGCGGCGACCUGGUCCGACACUGACGCUGAGGCGCGAAAGCGUGGGGAGCAAACAGG
rnacentral:rRNA from 1 species